GCGUGCGCAGUUGCCGUAGCUUACGGUGAUGGGCGCACGGCGCACGGGUGCGUAACACGUGGGCAAUCUGCCCUCCGAUGGGGAAUACCCCCUCGAAAGCGGGACUAAUUCCGCAUAACAUUCCCUAGGCGAUGGUCUGGGGAUUCAAAGCAGUGAUGCGUCCGAGGAGGAGCCCGCGCCCGAUUAGAUAGUUGGUGAGGUAACGGCUCACCAAAGCCAUGAUCGGUAGCUGGUCUGAUAGGAUGAUCAGCCACACUGGAACUGAUACACGGUCCACACUCCUACGGGAGGCAGCAUUGGGGAAUCUUGCGCAAUGGGCGAAAGCCUGACACAGCGACUCCGCGUGGGGGAUGAAGCUUUUCGGAGUGUAAACCCCUUUCGACUGGGACGAAUGCCCGCAAGGGAGUGACGGUACCAAUAGAAGAAGCCCCGGCUAACUACGUG
rnacentral:rRNA from 1 species